UACGUAGGGUGCAAGCGUUAAUCGGAAUUACUGGGCGUAAAGCGUGCGCAGGCGGUGAUGUAAGACAGGUGUGAAAUCCCCGGGCUUAACCUGGGAACUGCAUUUGUGACUGCAUCGCUGGAGUGCGGCAGAGGGGGAUGGAAUUCCGCGUGUAGCAGUGAAAUGCGUAGAUAUGCGGAGGAACACCGAUGGCGAAGGCAGCCUCCUGGGCCAGCACUGACGCUCAUGCACGAAAGCGUGGGAGCAAACAGG
rnacentral:rRNA from 1 species